AACGAACGCUGGCGGCAGGCUUAACACAUGCAAGUCGAGCGCCCUUUUCGGAGGGAGCGGCAGACGGGUGAGUAACACGUAGGAAUCUACCCAUCACUACGGAACAACCCCGGGAAACUGGAGCUAAUACCGUAUACGUCCUUCGGGAGAAAGAUUUAUCGGUGAUGGAUGAGCCCGCGUUGGAUUAGCUAGUUGGUGGGGUAAAGGCCUACCAAGGCGACGAUCCAUAGCUGGUCUGAGAGGAUGAUCAGCCACACUGGGACUGAGACACGGCCCAGACUCCUACGGGAGGCAGCAGUGGGGAAUAUUGGACAAUGGGCGCAAGUCUGAUCCAGCCAUGCCGCGUGAGUGAUGAAGGCCCUAGGGUUGUAAAGCUCUUUCACCGGUGAAGAUAAUGACGGUAACCGGAGAAGAAGCCCCGGCUAACUUCGUGCCAGCAGCCGCCGUA
rnacentral:rRNA from 1 species